rnacentral:rRNA from 1 species
GAUGAACGCUGACAGAAUGCUUAACACAUGCAAGUCUACUUGAUCCUUCGGGUGAUGGUGGCGGACGGGUGAGUAACGCGUAAAGAACUUGCCCUGCAGUCUGGGACAACAUUUGGAAACGAAUGCUAAUACCGGAUAUUAUGCGAGUCUCGCGUGAGGAUCGUAGGAAAGCUAUAUGCGCUGCAGGAGAGCUUUGCGUCCUAUUAGCUAGUUGGUGAGGUAACGGCUCAGCAAGGCGAUGAUAGGUAGCCGGCCUGAGAGGGUGAACGGCCACAAGGGGACUGAGACACGGCCCUUACUCCUACGGGAGGCAGCAGUGGGGAAUAUUGGACAAUGGACCAAAAGUCUGAUCCAGCAAUUCUGUGUGCACGAUGAAGUUUUUCGGAAUGUAAAGUGCUUUCAGUUGGGACGAAGUAAGUGACGGUACCAACAGAAGAAGCGACGGCUAAAUACGUGCCAGCCGCCGCCGUAA